GGAGGGGUGCCCGAGCGGUUAAAGGGGACGGACUGUAAAUCCGUUGGCUAGUGCCUACGUUGGUUCAAAUCCAACCCCCUCUA
rnacentral:tRNA from 1 species